CGGCGGACGGGUGAGUAACGCGUGGGUAACCUACCCUGUACACACGGAUAACAUACCGAAAGGUAUGCUAAUACAGGAUAAUAUAUUUGAGAGGCAUCUCUUAAAUAUCAAAGGUGAGCCAGUACAGGAUGGACCCGCGUCUGAUUAGCUAGUUGGUAAGGUAACGGCUUACCAAGGCGACGACCAGUAGCCGACCUGAGAGGGUGAUCGGCCACAUUGGAACUGAGACACGGUCCAA
rnacentral:rRNA from 1 species